rnacentral:rRNA from 1 species
CGUGCUAACCAUGCAGUCGACGGAAGGCCCUGCUUUUGUGGGGUGCUCGAGUGGCGAACGGGUGAGUAACACGUGAGUAACCUGCCCUUGACUUUGGGAUAACUUCAGGAAACUGGGGCUAAUACCGGAUAGGAGCUCCUGCUGCAUGGUGGGGGUUGGAAAGUUUCGGCGGUUGGGGAUGGACUCGCGGCUUAUCAGCUUGUUGGUGGGGUAGUGGCUUACCAAGGCUUUGACGGGUAGCCGGCCUGAGAGGGUGACCGGCCACAUUGGGACUGAGAUACGGCCCACACUCCUACGGGAGGCAGCAGUGGGGAAUAUUGCACAAUGGGCGGAAGCCUGAUGCAGCAACGCCGCGUGCGGGAUGACGGCCUUCGGGUUGUAAACCGCUUUCGCCUGUGACAAAGCGUGAGUGACGGUAAUGGGUAAAGAAGCACCGGCUAACUACGUGCAGCGCCCCCCGGAAAAAAAACAAACAGAGGGGGACCU